UCCCUGAGAGAUGAUCAGGUAGAUAGGUCAGGAGUGGAAGUACAGUGAUGUAUGGAGCGGACUGAUACUAAUCGAUCGAGGACUUAACCAA
rnacentral:rRNA from 1 species